rnacentral:rRNA from 1 species
UACGAAGGGGGCUAGCGUUGCUCGGAAUCACUGGGCGUAAAGCGCACGUAGGCGGCUUGUUAAGUCAGGGGUGAAAUCCUGGAGCUCAACUCCAGAACUGCCUUUGAUACUGAUGAGCUUGAGUUCGGGAGAGGUGAGUGGAACUGCGAGUGUAGAGGUGAAAUUCGUAGAUAUUCGCAAGAACACCAGUGGCGAAGGCGGCUCACUGGCCCGAUACUGACGCUGAGGUGCGAAAGCGUGGGGAGCAAACAGG